UGUUUUAAUAAGUGUUGUAAAGCUUUCAUUCAAUUGGAUGAAUACCGGUUAAUCUUGUGCCAGCUGCAGCGGUAAAGCAAGUGGUGUAAACGUUCUAUAGGUUUAUUAGGUGUAAAGAGUGAUUUGGAAUGUGAAUAGGAAUCUGUUUUUCAAAUCUCCAUCUCAUUCGAUGCAUGUUGUGUUAUUAUUCUUUGGCCCAAGUUGUGUUAUAAGGUAUUCUAGAUUUGAUGUGGUGUAGGAAUGUUAAUAGUAAUAGUGAAAUGUAUAUAGAAUUGGUAUAAAAUAAAUUGGAUAUUGGUAGCUUGAAAAGGUAGAUAUUCGAUUCACGAAAGCUUGAGGUGUGACAGGGAUUUGAGACCCCUUUAAUUCGAGACUGAAAUUAUGCAGGCAAUGUUUGUGGAUCUCUUUUUAACAAAUAAAGGUUCUUUUCCUAAGGAGUACGCUUUCACUUGUGAAACUUAAAUGUUCUGGUGGUGGUUUAGAACAAUAGUGGAAUAGAUGAUUUAAUUCGAUGAAAUGCGAUAAAGCUUAUCUGUUAUCUGAAAUAAUACCUAGGUAUAGGUAGAAUUCUAUUCGAGGUAGUGCAUGGCUGUUGGAGGGUAAUGUUUUGUAAUAUCUGGUUUCGGACAGGAAUAGCCGAUACACUUUUAGUUGUUAUAGGUCUUUUGCAUCUUUUCAUAUGGUCUUUUAGAUAGAAUAACGUCGAGUCAUUAUGCUCUUUAGUUCGGAGAUAUUCAUGUGUUACUAGGAGAGGUAUAUAG
rnacentral:rRNA from 1 species